rnacentral:rRNA from 1 species
AAGCGGCGGACGGGUGAGUAACGCGUGGGUAACCUACCCUGUACACACGGGUAACAUACCGAAAGGUAUGCUAAUACGGGAUAAUAUAUUUGAGAGGCAUCUCUUAAAUAUCAAAGGUGAGCCAGUACAGGAUGGACCCGCGUCUGAUUAGCUAGUUGGUAAGGUAACGGCUUACCAAGGCGACGAUCAGUAGCCGACCUGAGAGGGUGAUCGGCCACAUUGGAACUGAGACACGGUCCAA